GACGAACGCUGGCGGCGUGCUUAACACAUGCAAGUCGAACGGGCCUUGUCCCCUUUUUUUUUGGGGGUGGGGUUAGUGGCGAACGGGUGAGUAACACGUGAGUAACCUGCCCCUCACUUCUGGAUAACCGCUUGAAAGGGUGGCUAAUACGGGGUGUUCUGGCCUGCUCGCAUGGGUGGGUUUGGAAAGAUUCGACCGGUUUUGGUUGUUUUGGUGGGGGAUGGGCUCGCGGCCUAUGAGCUUGUUGGUGGGGUGAUGGCCUGCCAAGGCUUUGACGGGUAGCCGGCCUGAGAGGGUGGGCGGUCACACUGGGACUGAGACACGGCCCAGACUCCUACGGGAGGCAGAAGUGGGGAAUAUUGCACAAUGGGCGCAAGCCUGAUGCAGCGACGCCGCGUGAGGGAUGGAGGCCUUCGGGUUGUGAACCUCUUUCGCCAGUGAAGAAGGUCCUGCUCUUUGUGGUGGGGUUGACGGUAGCUGGGUUAAUGAAGCGCCGGCUAACUACGUG
rnacentral:rRNA from 1 species